rnacentral:rRNA from 1 species
UACGUAGGGUGCAGGCGUUAAUCGGAAUUACUGGGCGUAAAGCGUGCGCAGGCGGCUCCUUAAGUCAGAUGUGAAAUCCCCGGGCUUUAACCUGGGAACUGCGUUUGAAACUGGGGAGCUCGAGUGUGGAAGAGGGGGGUGGAAUUCCAGGUGUAGCAGUGAAAUGCGUAGAGAUCUGGAGGAACACCGAUGGCGAAGGCAGCCCCCUGGGCUAACACUGACGCUCAUGCACGAAAGCGUGGGGAGCAAACAGG